GUGCUAAGGAAGGAAGUAAGGCAGGAGGCAGCUUUCAAAGCCCGCCUUCUCUUUCUUUCUGUUUUCCCCGCAAGGAAAGCGGCACCCCCGCCGGAGAGGAGGCGUGGUCGCGCCCUCCGCUUGGCUUGGGCAGCCUGUUGCUCGCCGCCGGGAAGGAGGCAAAGUUUGUUUGGGGAGCGAAGGCAGCCGGGCGGGCGGGGAGGAGGAAGGCACUCGGGAGAGCUGUGCGCCAAGGGAGGGAGGGAGGGAGGGAAAGCCGAAAGGAGCCCCUCAAGCCAUAGCCAAGCAUCCACUGAGAGCCGCCCGGCAUGGUGGGGCAGCCGCGGAGCCGGACUGGCUGGCGAGAAACUUGAAGCGCCGGGGUGUGCCUGCCCAGAGGGACCCCGAGUCCUGAGAGGCCGACAUGGAGCAGCAGCAGCAGCAGGACGAGAAGGAGGAGGAGGAGGACCAAGCCUCUGCCGCUGCCGAAGGUGCCGGGGCUCAGGCGGAGGAGCAGGAGGCAGCCGCCAAGGAGGGAGGCCCGCUGCCCGAGAGCUUCUCCAGGAUCUGGACGGACGUGAUGGGCAUCCUGUUUGGAACCGUCAAAGAGCCUCCUGAGUCUGCUGUAGAAAAGUUUGGAAGUGUAUCUUUGGUGAAAUGAGGAGGAGGAAGAAGAAUGCAGAAAAAAAGAUGUUACUGUAAUAAACGAAAGGCCAAUUUGAAAUGGGAGGAUAUUUGUUUAAGUAAUACCAUUAAGCCAUCAUAAUAGUAACAUUAAGCUAGGCGUGACCUGAAAGAUAAAAGUGAAAUGAGAGUAGAUCAAUUUUGUCUGUAAUUAAGCACUUUAGUGGUUCUUUGGUAUUUUUUAUUAUAAAUGCUUUCAGGAAAUGGUACCUCUCCCGUGUAACCGUGAACCCAACCCAUUUGCCAACAUCAUUGUGUGAAACAUCAGUGUUGAUGAAAAGCUUAUAGCAGGAAUCCCCUUUCUUCCCUUUCAGAAAUAAAAUUUGAGUCCCAAAGACAAGGUUAAGAAGAAGAAGAAUAAGAAGAAUAGAGGAAUAAAUUAAAUAAUAUGGCAAGGGAGGAUGGACAAAGCACCCUUGAAUGUAGGCAGUGUUGCUAAAGGGGGGGGGGGGCGGAGAGACCAAAUGAAGAGAAGUAGGCUUCUAAUUCCAUUAAUUCUGCAUCUGUGAAGCAUUGAUCCAUGUCAUAAACUAUGUCAACUACAGUCGGAACCACUUCCCCCUGUUCUCGUUUUUAAAACUAUAGCACAACUGACUUCAUACAGAGUGCAUUCUCUGGUACAUUUUUCACAGCUGCAUUGAGUGAGUUGUUGAUAUCAGGGCUGAACAUGUUAAAACUGGGUGAGACAAAAUGAUAGGUGUCUGGAAAUGGUAAAAGUAGUAGUUAAACCAGUAGCCUUCACUUUUCCAGUUUCAUGGUACAGUGGUAAAAUUACCAGCUGUAGUUGGUAAUUCAGUGUAUGGAUGGCAUCAUAAUGAUUGCACAGCUAAGUAUAUUCUUUGCAUCACAAUUAGUACUUCAGUAACAAAUGGAUAGAAAAGUCUUCAUGCCCUCAUUUAUGAAAGCGUCUCAGUUGGCAAAAGAGAUGCACACAACAUGAAAUUGGAGAGCAUCAAAUCAGGCAUUUACUACUGGAAGGGCCAAAGUAAAUGCAACUUUUUCAAAGCAUCAAGAAACAAUAGGUUGGAUUGUUCAGAACUUGGUUGUGGCUUUAGCCUUUAAUUAUAUUUGGUCAGUGUCAAAACUCUUAGCAAACUUACAUUUUUAUAGAAGUCAUGUGAAAUCCUAGAGGCCAGUUAUGGGAUUAUUUUAGAGCAGUGGUUCUCAACCUGGGGUCCCCAGAUGUUUUUGGACUUCCACUCCCAGAAAUCCUAACAGCUGGUAAAUUGGCUGGAAUUUCUGGGAGUUGUAGGCCAAAAACAUCUGGAGAUGAGAUGUUGAGAACCACUGUUUUAGAGAAUAGUGCUGAGAAUGGUCAAUAGAAAUGUGGGUCCUUUAGGAGCAUAUUGGUUGCCAACCCCACCAAAACAUGCAUCAUUUCCCUGAAUAUACUAGAGAGUGGAGGAGAGGUCCAUAUUGGCAUCUCAUCCUCCUUCUCUUUGCAGAUUGACCAAAGAGUUUUAGGUGGUGAGAUUUUUCUGGCGCUGCUGCUGUUGUUGUUGGUUUGUUUUUUUGGUUUUUUUUUAGGGGGGGGGGGUCAGAAUGUAGGUCAUAAAUGCAAAUGCCACAUCUUGACAUAAAGAUGUUGUUUUGCCAUUUACAAAAUUAUAGUCUGCAACAAGAAUUAAGCAGGCCUAUAAUUAGAUUAUAAGUUACAUGUUAUAAUAGAUUGAGGAAGAAGGCACAUAUUUUGCAAGUUAUUGGAUUUUAGGAUAUUAUAGGAGAGCUACUGUGGUGUGAUAGCUUGAGUAUGAAGACUGAUUCAAAUCAAUCUUCAGCCAUAGAAACACACUGGAUUGCCUUGGCCAACUAACAUUCUCUUACCCUUGGUUGAAUGCAAAGGCAAAACCUUUUUCUAAACAAAUCUUGCCUUAGGGUCAUCAUACAUCAGAAAACAACUUCAAAGCACACAAUUACAAUAGACAAAUAUGUAUAUUAAAAACAAAAUGGGAAUUACUCUUGAAAAUAUGGUAAAAGAAUAAGACAUGAGAUAUUUUAAUAUUGGUUCCUCUUCUUGGAGCUGUUGCAAGACAAAGAAAAGCAAAACUGCAUAGAUGUACUAGAACACUUUGCAUAGAAGUCUAGUUUUGCUACUUGACAUUUUGUCUCUGUAGCUGAAUUCCCAGAUUUCUACAUACUCUAAAGUUAUCUAGACAGGAAACCAGUGCAAGUAAUGGAAAAUGAAUUGAAAGUGUUUCGGAAAUCAGUCUCAUGGAAAAAACACAUUUUGUAUAAGCAUUUCCUAACUGGCCAAUGACAUUAUUCUAUGACUCCCAAUUCAGCAGUAAGAUAGUGAUUAUUAUGAAGUGAUUAUUACUAUGUGAAUCUCUUACCAACAAUAUAUAUACAGUGCACAUGCUUGCUAGUUUUGUUAAUUUUUUACUAGAAUUUAAUCAUCUUUCAGUAUGUUGUCUGCUGUUCCUUUCAUCUAGCAAAGUGCUAAAGCAGUCUCUUUACCCAAAAUUUGUUCUACU
ensembl:lncRNA